CUAGAUGGAGUCUCGCUCUGUUGCCCAGGCUGGAGCACAGUGGCACGAUCUUGGAUCACUGCAAGCUCCACCUCCCGGGCCUCAGUCUGCAGAGACACAGAAGCAAAUGAUUGUAUGAAGCUCCUGACUGUAUGAAGUUCUCAGUCAAACAAAAUAGUACCUCUUCUGCCCAUCUCAGAGGUGGAUAAGGAUAAAGUGAAAUAAUGGAAAGCACAAGGAACAGUAAAAGGCAAAUGUCAAGAAGCUGUUUGCAAAGUUACCAAGAUGUAAAAUUAGAUUUUACUUAUUAAUAAUCAUGUCACUUGUCAUUCUGUUUAUAAUGGUCAAUUCACUGCUGAUAUUCAAGUGGACCGUUUAAACUGUAUUUUUGCUCAGCUAUCCCUCCAAAUAAAUAUCUCAAAAUCUUGACUGUUUAUUUUCUUAGCCCAUCUUAUUUUCCCAGGCCUCAAAGCGUGGCUUCUCAAAUCCCUGGCUUGUCUUCUGAUUCUGGCCAGUCUAGGUGGGGUCUGGCUUCAGUUUGUACAGAUUCUCACUCCCAAUCUCAUAUUGGUCAAACAAACCCAGAAGUAAGAUCUACACGUAUUAAUCAACCAUUCUCAGACCAGGAUUGGAAUAAUUUGAAAA
rnacentral:lncRNA from 10 species